rnacentral:rRNA from 1 species
UAGGGAAUCUUCCGCAAUGGACGCAAGUCUGACGGAGCAACGCCGCGUGAGUGAAGAAGGAUUUCGGUUCGUAAAACUCUGUUGUUAGAGAAGAACAGCGCAUAGAGUAACUGUUAUGCGUGUGACGGUAUCUAACCAGAAAGCCACGGCUAACUACGUGCCAGCAGCCGCGGUAAUACGUAGGUGGCAAGCGUUGUCCGGAUUUAUUGGGCGUAAAGCGAGCGCAGGCGGUCAAUUAGGUCUGAUGUGAAAGCCCCCGGCUCAACCGGGGAGGGUCAUUGGAAACUGGUUGACUUGAGUGCAGAAGAGGAGAGUGGAAUUCCAUGUGUAGCGGUGAAAUGCGUAGAUAUAUGGAGGAACACCAGUGGCGAAGGCGACUCUCUGGUCUGUAACUGACGCUGAGGCUCGAAAGCGUGGGUAGCAAACAGG